rnacentral:rRNA from 1 species
CCUACGGGAGGCAGCAGUGGGGAAUAUUGCACAAUGGGGGAAACCCUGAUGCAGCCAUGCCGCGUGUGUGAAGAAGGCCUUCGGGUUGUAAAGCACUUUCAGUAGGGAGGAAGGUAGUGUAGUUAACACCUGCAUUAUUUGACGUUACCUACAGAAGAAGCACCGGCUAACUCCGUGCCAGCAGCCGCGGUAAUACGGAGGGUGCGAGCGUUAAUCGGAAUUACUGGGCGUAAAGCGCAUGCAGGCGGCCUGUUAAGUCAGAUGUGAAAGCCCGGGGCUUAACCUCGGAAUUGCAUUUGAAACUGGCAGGCUAGAGUCUUGUAGAGGGGGUAGAAUUUCAGGUGUAGCGGUGAAAUGCGUAGAGAUCUGAAGGAAUACCAGUGGCGAAGGCGGCCCCCUGGACAAAGACUGACGCUCAGAUGCGAAAGCGUGGGGAGCAAACAGGAUUAGAUACCCUGGGAG